CCUGACGCAGCAACGCCGCGUGGAGGAUGACGCAUUUCGGUGUGUAAACUCCUUUUAUAUGUCAAGAAAAUGACGGUAGCAUAUGAAUAAGCACCGGCUAACUCCGUGCCAGCAGCCGCGGUAAUACGGAGGGUGCAAGCGUUACUCGGAAUCACUGGGCGUAAAGGACGCGUAGGCGGGAUGGUAAGUCUGAUGUGAAAUCCUACAGCUUAACUGUAGAACUGCAUUGGAAACUACUAACCUAGAGUAUGGGAGGGGGAGAUGGAAUUAGUGGUGUAGGGGUAAAAUCCGUAGAUAUCACUAGGAAUACCUAAAGCGAAGGCGAUCUCCUGGAACAAUACUGACGCUAAGGCGUGAAAGCGUGGGGAGCAAACGGGAUUAGAUACCCCGGUAGUCCACGCCCUAAACGAUGAACACUAGUCGUCGGGAUGCUUGUCAUCUCGGUGAUGCACUUAACAGAUUAAGUGUUCCGCCUGGGGAGUACGGUCGCAAGAUUAAAACUCAAAGGAAUUGACGG
rnacentral:rRNA from 1 species